GGCCAGUAGGUGGAGUCAGGUUACUAGGCAAUAUACUGAACAACACCAUCCUAGCACUGAUCCUAGGAAGAUCCCAAUGAAGAUCUCAGGAGAAAAACCUGAGGAUAAAAUACUGUUACAAGAACCAUUGGCCAUUAUCUUUGAAAACUCG